rnacentral:rRNA from 1 species
GAUGAACGCUGGCGGCGUGCCUAAUACAUGCAAGUCGAGCGAACAGACGAGGAGCUUGCUCCUCUGACGUUAGCGGCGGACGGGUGAGUAACACGUGGAUAACCUACCUAUAAGACUGGGAUAACUUCGGGAAACCGGAGCUAAUACCGGAUAAUAUAUUGAACCGCAUGGUUCAAUAGUGAAAGACGGUUUUGCUGUCACUUAUAGAUGGAUCCGCGCCACAUUAGCUAGUUGGUAAGGUAACGGCUUACCAAGGCGACGAUGCGUAGCCGACCUGGGAGGGUGAUCCGGCAAACUGGAAACGAGAACCGGUCCAGACCCCCACGGGAGGCAGCAGUAGGGAAUCCUCCGGAAUGGGCGAAAGCCUGACGGAGGAACGCCGCGUGAGUGAUGAAGGUCUUCGGAUCGUAAAACUCUGUUAUUAGGGAAGAACAAAUGUGUAAGUAACUAUGCACGUCUUGACGGUACCUAAUCAGAAAGCCACGGCUAACUACGUG